GUGCCAGCCGCCGCGGUAAUACCCGCAGCUCAAGUGGUGGUCGCUUUUAUUGAGCCUAAAACGUUCGUAGUCGGCUUUGUAAAUCCUUGGGUAAAUCGGGCCGCUCAACGGUUCGAAUUCUGAGGAGACUGCAAAGCUAGGGACCGGGCGAGGUCAGAGGUACUUUCGGGGUAGGAGUGAAAUCCUGUAAUCCCGAAGGGACCACUGUGGCGAAAGCGUCUGACUUGAACGGCUCCGACGAUGAGGAACGAAGGCUAGGGGAGCAAACCGGAUUAGAUACCCGGGUAGUCCUAGCUGUAAACUCUGCCCGCUUGGUGUGGCCUGUUCUUCGGGAGCAGGCUGUGCCGGAGCGAAGGUGUUAAGCGGGCUGCUUGGGGAGUACGGCCGCAAGGUUGAAACUUAAAGGAAUUGCGGGGGAGCACCGCAACGGGAGGAUGCGUGCGGUUUAAUUGGAUUCAACGCCGGAAAACUCACCUGAGGCGACCAGCGUAUGUGUGUCAGGCCGAAGACCUUACUCGAACAAAAGCUGGAGAGGUGGUGCAUGGCCAUCGUCAGCUCGUACCGUAGGGCAUUCACUUAAGUGUGAUAACGAGCGAGACCCCCAUCCCUAGUUGCCAACUUUUCCGAAGGGAAAGGUGCACUCUAGGGAGACCGCUUCUGCUAAAGAAGAGGAAGGAGGGGUCGACGGUAGGUCAGUAUGCCCCGAAUCCUCAGGGCUACACGCGCGCUACAAAGGACAGGACAAUGGGUUCCAACCCCGAAAGGGGAAGGUAAUCCCAAAACCUGUUCGUAGUCCGGAUUGAGGGCUGUAACUCGCCCUCAUGAAGAUGGAUUCCGUAGUAAUCGCGGAUCAACAGUCCGCGGUGAAUAUGCCCCUGCUCCUUGCACACACCGCCCGUC
rnacentral:rRNA from 1 species